GAUGAACGCGGGCGGCGUGCUAAUACAUGCAAGUAGACCGCUGAAGCUUGGUGCUUGCACCGAGCGGUGAGUUGCGGACGGGUGAGUAACGCGUAGGUAACCUGCCUCUUAGCGGGGGAUAACUAUGGGAAACGAUAGCUAAUACCGCAUAAAAGUCGAUAUCGCAUGAUAUUGAUUUGAAAGGUGCAAUUGCAUCACUAAGAGAUGGACCUGCGUUGUAUUAGCUAGUUGGUGAGGUAACGGCUCACCAAGGCGACGAUACAUAGCCGACCUGAGAGGGUGAUCGGCCACACUGGGACUGAGACACGGCCCAGACUCCUACGGGAGGCAGCAGUAGGGAAUCUUCGGCAAUGGGGGCAACCCUGACCGAGCAACGCCGCGUGAGUGAAGAAGGUUUUCGGAUCGUAAAGCUCUGUUGUAAGAGAAGAACGAGUGUGAGAGUGGAAAGUUCACACUGUGACGGAACUACCA
rnacentral:rRNA from 1 species